AACGCACAUUGCGCCCCUUGGUAUUCCGAGGGGCAUGCCUGUUUGAUCGUCAUUAAGCACUUCGGGCCCACGGCUUGGUGCUGGGCGAGCCUAGACCAACAUGCCCACACCAGGGUGGUUUUAACGGCGAGCCCCAAAACACAUGUUGACUACAGACCUAUGGCACAGGUGGUAAGACACUCAUCUCUGUGUCAAUGGUAUAACUGUAUUCAAUCAAAUGGGAAAACCUUUAGGCUCCUGAAAAUAUAUAGCGCCUGGAUUGGGACUUUGUUUCUGACAUUGCUCUUUCAGCCGGGAUGCUUUCCCUGUUGAUGCGGCCCAAAGUAUUCUCCUGUGGAGAGGCUAGGUCAAUUGUAAUAAAUAGAGCUCGAGGGGGAUUUUCCCUGGCAUCGUGUGUCUUUCCCUGUUUCAGUUCGCCAAAGAGGUCCCCUUUUAACAAGGGGGAAGUCAUAGCCUGCAACAUACCUUUUUAUCUUGACAUCAAAUCAGGUAGGGAUACCCGCUGAACUUAA
rnacentral:misc_RNA from 1 species